rnacentral:rRNA from 1 species
GAGUGGACUCCUACGGGAGGCAGCAGUGAGGAAUAUUGGUCAAUGGUCGGAAGACUGAACCAGCCAUGCCGCGUGCAGGAAGACGGCCUUAUGGGUUGUAAACUGCUUUUGUAAGGGAAGAAUAAGUCGUAUGUAUACGGCGAUGACGGUACUUUACGAAUAAGCAUCGGCUAACUCCGUGCCAGCAGCCGCGGUAAUACGGAGGAUGCGAGCGUUAUCCGGAAUCAUUGGGUUUAAAGGGUCUGUAGGCGGGUUAUUAAGUCAAGGGUGAAAGUUUGUUGCUUAACGAUAAAAUUGCCUUUGAUACUGGUAGUCUUGAAUUUUUGUGAAGUUGCUGGAAUGUGUAGUGUAGCGGUGAAAUGCAUAGAUAUUACACAGAACACCGAUUGCGAAGGCAUGUGACUAACAAAGGAUUGACGCUGAGAGACGAAAGCGUGGGGAGCGAACAGGAUUAGAUACCCCAGUAGUCC